rnacentral:lncRNA from 1 species
CUGCAUCCCCAGCCUCAGUUUCCACAUGUGUAGAUGGAGUUAUGGCUGUGAAGAUCUGUACAUGGUAUCAGCGUGGGGUUUGUGGGGAACGGAAAAGCCCCCUGAAGCCUGCUUUUGUUGUCUUGUGGUUGGUUUGGAUACAGACCCUUGUGGAAACUGGUAAAUGGGUAGGCAAACCCUCAGACCAGGCCCAUCACCCCAAAACAGGAUCAGCCAGGGGUUUCCAAGGAUCUUGAUGAGACCGAUCGGCGCUACUGCUGCCUGGGAGGGAACUAUGGGUGGCCGGGUGAGCAGGGGGUGGGGAAGAGAGGCUGAGUAGGCUGGCUACAGAGACUUUUCUAGGGCUUUUCUCCACUCGCUCAACAGUCAAGAAUGGGUGUCCCUUUGAUUGUUUCUACUGGGAGAUUCUGAGAAAAGAUAAGACAUGGGUGGCCCCAUCCUGGAGAAACCCUCAGGCAGAUGUAGGGGGGUAGAAAUCAUCCAGUCAUUCAACAAACACUUACAGAGCCACUUGUGAAAAUGGGGUGAAAGAUGCCCAGGACGGAUCAGCUAGGGUCCCUGCUCUCUAGAAGCAUACACUGGGGCAGGGAAGACCGUUAACAGCCCACAAGACUGUAUUUUCACAAGAGGAAAUUGUGCCAGUUGAUUGUGUGAGACCUAAGGAAUGUGGGGGGGGUUGCUUAGUCCAGGGAGGCUUAGCUAAGAAUGGCUUCCUGGGGAGGAAGGAGCCCAGCCAGUAAGACAAGAACCAGGAGGCACGCUGAGAGGAGGAGGGGUGACCCAUGCAGAAUGCUGGGGAGCAGGUGUCCCUUCAGGAGGGUGAUGUGCAGACAAAUGGCCUCAAGAAGGCCUGGGGACAGAGUGGACUAAGAAUUUCCACGAGACCAUGUCCCUAUCUGAUGGAUCCAGAUUACGUGGCCAAGAAAGAUGCUGAAAUCUCCUCUGUCCCCGUCAGUCACUUGGACAUGCCUCUGAAACAAAGGGACGGCUAUUUCCUUGUUAGGGGGAUCCUGUCGGCCUGGAGAUUCAAGACCAAGCCAUCACACAUUGGAGGAAUUCUGGUAACCCCAGCCCGACUGUAAAUUUUGUGGGGGCAGAGACCUCGGCUUCUAUGAUGCUGCUGGGCAGGUGCUUAAUCAAUGCUUGUUGACACGUUGGGGAAAAAGUCAGCCCAGGUGAGAGCGCUUUCCAUAGUUGGAAAACGGGGNNGGGGGGGGGGCGGGGGGGCGGGGAGAAGCCUGAUACACAAGCUUCCGUGUCAGACUUGGACUUGAAUCGUAGCCCUGACACGUCACAGCUGUGUGACCUGGGGCAUGUCGCUUCGCCUCUCUCAUCUGGGGUUCCCAGAUCUGUAGAGAGUCGUUAACAAUAGUGCCUACCUCACAGGGGUGUUACGAGGUACCUAACAGAACGCCACUGGCCCACGGCAGGUGCAGAAGCGCCCCCCCCAGCCCCCAGCUUGCGCACUUCACUUCCUAAGAACACUUCUUGAAGCUCCAGAUGGAGAUAUUCUUGGAGUUUUGUCCUGGUCUUGGUAUGUGUUUCUGGGUCAUACAGUUUCUCAUUCUGUCAUAGCUUUUUUUUUUUUUUUUGGUCAUUCUUUAUUUUUUCGUUUUUCUGUUUCUCUUCUCCUCUUACCUUUUCUUAAACACUUUCUGCUGUCUUUCUGCUGUCUUCCACCCCACACUUUCCCUCCCUCCCCUCUUUCCUUCUUCCUUUCUCCUUCCUGACCCCUAGCCUCCCGGGCCUCUGUGUGACUGCACUGCUCCCCUUGCUGUCUUGGUCGCAUGUUCCUCUGUUCAUGGCACAGGACGGCUUUCCUCAGGGAAUCCAAGGAAAUGAGUGAGAAGCAUCUCCCACCUCAGCAACCAGAUGGGGAGCUGCUCUCCACAGAGAAUGACAUCGUCAUUUCUGGGAAAAGCUUUUAACUCUUGGAACCCAAAUGGCUCUCGCUUUGUGUCGCUGCUUCUAUUUCUCAAGGGCCCUGGGCUCCAUCAGGGUCCUCGGAAAACCAGUAGCAGAGGUCUCGGAAAUUGUGCUGCCCAGGCAGAGGACCGCCUCCGCCGAGUCCACUUCCAGGACAGGAUUCAGCAGGACCCAGGGGGGUGGGGAUACGGUGUUGAGGACCCGGAGGCCCCCAUCUGAUGAGGGAGGCCACACUCCCAUGAGUCAGAGCUGAC